GCGGAUCGAUGAAAGCCCAAACUGAUCGAUCGUUGUCAUACUUUCAAUGUACUUUUUUAAACAAACUAGCCCUUUCAUUAAUUAAUGAUUUGACGUAUAGGCCAACCAAAUGGCACGCAACACAUCCACCUUUUUUAUUUAUUUGUAAAUGAUACCAUACCCUGUCAUUUUAGGGUAAAAUUCGAUGUACUUUACAUCACGCUCAUCAGUUCAGUAUUUGUACAGAAGGUUGCUACAGUAACGUUUGCAAGACAACACGCGGUCACUGUGAGUGGUAGUAACGUCACCGUCAUUGGUUCUAUCAUAAAAAUCCGCAUGUUUAUUAAUUUCACUGGGUAUGACACAAAGAUAGCUAAUUUAGCAGGUGUGGUGAUACUGAUGAUUUUGGGCACAGAUGGUUUGUUUACAUAGCAGUCAGGAUAAUUAACGUCGCAUGUUAGGAUAAUUAACGUGGCAGGUUACGAGAACUAACGCAGCAGGAUAUGUGAAUUAAUGUAGCAGGUUAUGAAAAGAGUUAGGAUUAGUUAAUGCUUCGGUUGUCAACAGCUGUUUUCCCCGACGCGACCACUGGAUAGAGAUGUAGGCCUACCCCAUCUAACCACAACAGAGGAAACGUAAACAAACCAUAUGUGGCGACAAAUUACAGAGGAAAAGGCUAAACGAGAGGGUUUACUCAGCCCAAAAAAUCUAAGCGAAAAUAAAACCAUGAGAGUGUCGAAUUUGUUCAACGAAAAUGUAAUGUCUUAUUUUCUACCUGAGGUUUAUUUGAUCGAAUAGAAGUUUCGUUAUGCUUAAAUUGUUACGCGUAUGCUGAUAUAAAUUGGACACGUGACAUCCCAGCAACUUUGAGAAAAAAACACUUUAUAUUGGAGUUGUCUCGAGAUGGUUUAACGUCGUAUUAAUGUAAUGUGGCUGUAGCAUAUAAUCUCUCGUCAUUGAAUAUGGGCGGUUGAAGUUAACCACCCUCAUCGAAUAUUAAAAACAAAUAACAAUAAAUAGAUGUAUCCACCAAUCCAAAAAAUAGGCGGGAACUAGACAGCCAGCCGUGCCACUUUGUGAACAACGACUCCCAUUGUUAGGGCGGAGAGACAUGUAGUCUUGUCAGUUUUCCAUAAUCUUUGGUUUGAUGAAAACAUCUGGUGGGAAAAUGCAUAUUGUUUUAGGCAGAUAAGGUUAUGCGCAUGAAAAUCUGACCCAAAUUGGUUGGAAACCUAGCUAUAGACGUGAAACUAGUUAGGGAAUUAAGAAAAUGUAAUGGUAGCUAAGUUAUUCAUAUGAAGAUAAUGAAAGGGUGAUUUCUGUUCGGCUAGUUGAAUAAGUCAGUAAUCUGAUUGACAGCCAGUAUAGUACGAGCUAGUGAGUAACGUUACUGUUCUCGGGUUGUUAGCUAGGCAACUGUUGUGGCAAUGAUUUCUAGAGGUAGAGGAACCCAAAAACCAAACAUAUCUGGUACAAAAGGAACUCCACGCAUGGCUAUAUCCAGUUAUAAACAAUCGGAUACACCUGGAACCAAGGUGGAAGACAAGGCGCCGAGAAUAAGGCAACUUGCAUGGAGUUCUUCAAACUAUGGAUACAGGACUUUUGGAUUGGUUCAUCCUUACAAUGCCAGGUCUCACAUCACAGAGUGGGGCUGGAAGGAUGAGUGGUGGACAGCUAGGAGGGAGUUGAGGCUCACAGUGAGGGCAGAGUGCCAUUACAGCUGAGAGGCGGUGUCUGCGUUUGGCUUGGGACAGCUGGGAAGUGUACAUGAGGAUGAAACACAGGAUGCAAGAAUCUGCUCUUCAGUUCCAGAAACUCACAGCUCUAUGUUGGGUGUGGACUAUGUGGCAGACUAGGAUGUGGAGGAGGUAUGAUGCAUGUGAUAUGGAGGACCAAGCACUGGGCUCUGACUCUACAGAGUAAGGUGAGUUGAUUACAUCAAUAUUUAUGUGGCUCUUUUUCAAUGAAUCUUUCCUUGAUUCCUCACAUCCUCAUCACCCCUCAAAAAACACAAUGGAGAGGAAGGUCCAUUCACUACCUUGUUGUCUGUGAAUGACAAUUUGCAAUGAAUGUCCAUUCGCAUAAUUGUAUGAUUUAUGCAUGUUGUUAUUCUGUCAUAGGCACUACGUUCAUGCCUGUAUAAGCUUUGUUCACCUCCGCCAAGCUAAGAGGAAACCACAAGGUGCCAUCUUCUGUUAAUCAUGUGUACUACUGUACCUCUUAUCACAAUCACUGGAUGGCAUUCAUGGUCCAGGAUAAUAUACUCUCAGUUUAGGAUAUCAGAAACUUAUAUUGACAAUUGUAGCCAAACUUGGGUUGUCUCCAACACAUACUACAGACCUGCCUGUUGUCCGCUAGAACUUGCGUUCACAUUACCAUUGCUUUCUGUUGUUGUUAACCCUCAUGUAUUGGUCUACCUCCUGGGUUCCAGCUGUUGCUGUGCGAGCCUGGCAACUCCGCUUGGUCCUGAGGUAUUGGUAUGUGUGGAGAAGUGGACUACAGAGAGAGGUGGACAGAGAGCAGGGUGUUGACCAUGUGGCACAAUGCAGCAUACAGCAUAGCGCUGGAGACACUAUCCUACCCCACACACACUGACAGAUGUGAAGUCACACACUAUUGCAAGAACAACAUUAGCAAUACUCACCUUAUGGUUAACUUCAUGUGCCGUCAUCUACCUCAACAUCAUACUUCGUAACAUAUUGCAAGAAGAUUAAGUGAAUUUCCUGAGUUUAUGUGCAGAUUUGGACUUGUGCAUGCAGGAGUCAGAGAGAUCAGUCAGCAGCAAGUCAACACCGCCAUCUAUUGCACGCUGGUCUGAGAAGUCUGGCCCUUAAUAUCGCUCAGAUACUCAUCGACUCAACAAGAACAUCGCUGUCCAGCAUCAUCAUCACACUGCAGGUAUUGGAUACUCUGGCAGCAACGUCUGGAGGAGGCUGAAGAUUGGGUACUUCAGAUGCAGAUGACACACACCCACUACAGCGUCAAUACACCUGGGCCUUUUACACCUGGUGGGGACAUUCAGAGGAGAGAAAGGAUCAGAGGCUGGCUGAGAGGAUGGUAAAACAGCUGUCCUGACACACACACACACACCAUCACGGUACAGCCAUACACCCAGACAGAGCCCAGCUGUCCUGCCCUUUGGGCCUUGCUGCAUGAAGAGAGGUUGUGUUUAAGUAGAGCCUGGCACCACUGGCAGUGGAGGGCGGGGAAGGAGAAACGGAGAGCCUCUGACAUACUGGACCACCAUACUGUAGUCCACAACACACUGAGCCAGUGGAAGGACAACGUCACCAUGAUCCGGGACAGGCGAAACCAAGAGGCGCAGGCAGGUCGACAUGGGGAUGUGUCUUGUGUGCGACGCGCCCUGAGUGGCUGGAGUGAGGAGGGUUCUGCGUGUGUGGAAGGAGACUGCAGCAGCCAGGAGCAGUGAGAAGAGGGCAGAGAACCACUACCGGCACUGUUCAGGCUAAGGUGCUGUUGGCAUGGAGGAAAGCCACAUCCUGUGUCAAACUGUCACCAGCAGUGAGCAGGGCUCCGAGUCGCAUGGAUAAUGGGAA